GUCGUCGUGGCCGAGUGGUUAAGGCGACAGACUUGAAAUCUGUUGGGCUCUGCCCGCACAGGUUCGAAUCCUGUCGGCGACG
rfam:Ciona savignyi cont_34099, whole genome shotgun sequence.